rnacentral:rRNA from 1 species
GAUGAACGCUGGCGGCGUGCCUAAUACAUGCAAGUCGAGCGAAAAGACGAGGAGUUUGCUCCUCUGACGUUAGCGGCGGACGGGUGAGUAACACGUGGAUAACUUACCUAUAAGACUGGGAUAACUCCGGGAAACCGGAGCUAAUACCGGAUAAUAUAUUGAACCGCAUGGUUCAAUAGUGAAAGACGGUUUUGCUGUCACUUAUAGAUGGAUCCGCGCCGAAUUAGCUAGUUGGUAAGGUAACGGCUUACCAAGGCAACGAUGCGUAGCCGACCUGAGAGGGUGAUCGGCCACACUGGAACUGAGACACGGUCCAGACUCCUACGGGAGGCAGCAGUAGGGAAUCUUCCGCAAUGGGCGAAAGCCUGACGGAGCAACGCCGCGUGAGUGAUGAAGGUCUUCGGAUCGUAAAACUCUGUUAUUAGGGAAGAACAAAUGUGUAAGUAACUGUGCACGUCUUGACGGUACCUAAUCAGAAAGCCACGGCUAACUACGUG